CGAAGGCGACUGCAGUCGGCCCUUCCCGGAGUCCCGCUUCGGGGCCGUCCCUGGGCGCUGCGCGUUGGUCAACGUAACCCGGCAUUUCUCCGAGGAGAGGCCUAAAAAUGAGUGGGGCUGCCGCCCGACUCCUGUGAGAGCCUCGGGGCUUCCAUUCCCGACACCAGGAGGAAAGACCGGCAUUUCUUCCUCGGGCGAAGAACCCAGUUGUCCAGGCUGGGCUCAAAGAUGGGACUCUCUUGCAUCAGCUUUCCAGAGUGCUGGGAUUACACGUGUGCGCCACGGAAUCUGGCUACCGAGCACUUAUUUUCUGAGGACUGAACCUAGAGGCUCACACAUGCUAAAUAUUUACUCUACCACUGAAGCAAUCUCCUGGCCCUCAAAUUCUUAAGUUAUAAAACAAGAAAAUUUUUGAUAUGGUUUCCUGGAUGAAACAGUGACAAAAUCAAGAGAGCUAACCUUGCUUACCCUGCCCAACCCACUUGUGUGAUAUGUUAGCUCCCUGGUCCCUGCUUGAUUCAGACACUACAGAAGAUGUGGGCAUUCUGGCUUCAUUGAUGUGAUGUGCUCUCUAUGAAUUAAAAUUGCAAUUAAUUAUUUUACAUGAAAAUAUGCCUUCUAUGAGAGUGAUACAGACUUCAGCAAAUUUUAACAACUUAUUUUGUAUAUUAACAUUUAUUAAAGACUUUCUU
rnacentral:lncRNA from 1 species